rnacentral:rRNA from 1 species
UACGUAGGGUGCAAGCGUUAUCCGGAAUUAUUGGGCGUAAAGAGCUCGUAGGCGGUUUGUCGCGUCUGCUGUGAAAACUGGAGGCUCAACCUCCAGCCUGCAGUGGGUACGGGCAGACUAGAGUGCGGUAGGGGAGAUUGGAAUUCCUGGUGUAGCGGUGGAAUGCGCAGAUAUCAGGAGGAACACCGGUGGCGAAGGCGGGUCUCUGGGCCGAUACUGACGCUGAGGAGCGAAAGCGUGGGGAGCGAACAGG